rnacentral:lncRNA from 1 species
AAGUCGGCAGAAUGUUCACAUCCGCCCGUGCGGCUCCAAGCAAGUAGCACGCGGAGAGCGGUGUGCGUUCUCCUCCGGUGUCCCCGUGGUGCUUGUUUACGGGGAGGCGUUUCAAAAGGUUCCGCCUGGUCAGGGCCUAACCUGCGGAGGAACCCGGAAGUGACCGAUCCGGAUGUGGAAAACUACACCCACUGGUGUACUUCCGAGGUCUCGCCGGGCUAAUCCUAGCCUCUUAACAGACAGGCUCAUUUCCAGAAAUGUCAGAGGGACGGAGUUUGUUACCACUACACCGAAUAAACGAAGGAUUGCACAUAAUCCUCCCACGGCGGCACACACACCUAUAAUCCCAGCAUUUAGAAGCUAGAGGUAGGGCAUCCAGAAAUUCAAGGGCAUCCUUGGCUACCUAACAAGGUCGAGGCCAGCCUGGGCUACAUGAAACCCUGUCUCCAAAGAAAAGGUAAUGUAUUAAUAACAUUGAUUGGUGAAAGAUUUCAAGGAUGGCAACGGAGAAAGCAUAAGAAUUGCUAAAAGUUGUAUCCCAUUAAUUUUUUAAAAAUUAGAUACACCUAUAAAAAUCUCUAUGAAUAGUAAACACACACAGAGUUGGUAGAAGACAAAAGGAUUUGUCACUGAAAUUGGAGAUGAGUUCAUGCAAGUCCAAUGGUAAGAAAAAUCCCAUGGGAAGAAGAGGUAAAAGAUGCCAACAGUUUUUAAAUGAGUUUCAGUUUGGGAACAUACAAAAAUUGUGGAGAUGGAUGGUGUCACAUGAGUGUGUACAAUGCUCCUGGCCAUUUAAUAGUUGAACUAUUUAAUAGUUCACCUGUAUAAUUAGCACCAUCUAAUAAUAUGUGUUCUUUUUUUUUUUUUAAACCUGGUCCAAGGUAAUCUACGUACAGAGUUAGCUAGUUAAGUUUCGGUGCUUGUAUCUAAACGUUGUGCUGAUAGCCUUCUGAAACUAAGUGAAGAAAGAAAGAAAAAAAUUACAGGCCACCAAGAUGGCUCAGUAUGUUAAGUCACCUGCCACAAAACUUGAAAAGCCGCGUUCAGCCCCCAAGACCCACAUUGUAGAAGGAGAGAAGCAACUCUAAAGAGCUGUCCUCUGAUCCCCAUACUCACAUGUAAGACAAAUCAUUUAAAAUUAAGAAUGAUCAGCCCCCCCCCACACUUAAAUCCUUAAGAUUUACUCAGAGAGACUACAUUUGAAUGGUCCCUGUGAGUUAUUAUACCAGAGAGCACCCUACUUAGUGUAGUCUGGAAGGGGCUGGGAAAGGGGGCUGAAGACUUCAGGACAUCAAGUUCGGCUCAGGCGUGUCAGCUGUCUUCUACAGUCAUCUUGGUUUCCCACUAUGAAGAUGGUUCUACUG